rnacentral:rRNA from 1 species
GGACUACCAGGGUAUCUAAUCCCGUUCGCUCCCCUGGCUUUCGUGUGUGAGCGUCAGAAACAGGCCAGUGCGCUGCCUUCGCCUUUGGUGUUCCCCACGAUAUCAACGGAUUUCACCCCUACACCGUGAGUUCCACGCACCUCUCCUGCUCUCAAGUUGUACCGUUUCGCUUGCGCGCCGUAGGUUAAGCCCACGGAUUUUACAAACGACUAAUACAACCGCCUAUGACACCCUUUACGCCCAGUGAUUCCGGAUAAUGCUUGGGGCCUCUGUAUUACCGCGGCUGCUGGCAC